CUCACGUAAAAUGUGCAUGCUUCCACAACUCCACUACUGCCUAUGGGUUACGUUAAACUAUAAACGAUGCAAAAGAAGAAUGCUUUUUCAUUUAUUUGGUGAGUAUCUGAAUGAAUUUUUGUUGUUAUUGUAGGAGGCAACAAAUUAAAACAAAUCUUGCUACCAUCAAUUGAGUAAUAGGUAUUUCUUGCUUCUUUUUAGCUGUUAGGUUAUUCAAAAAUGUUUUGUUUUAUUCUUGCUGCUAAUUGGAGAAAUAAGUGAGUCACAGAAGAGUAAUUUUUCUUAUUUGGAAUCUAUAGGGCUAUUUGUUGAGUUCAAAUGCUUGUGCUCUUCUUUUAGCAAAGCUUUUAUUAACUAAUAAUCUGAGCCUUAAUUUUGAUUGUCAAAUUCAAUUGUUGAAUUAUAUUUAAUAAUUUGUAUGUCUUGAGCUUGUGAUUCAAUUUUAGCUUUACUUCUGUAGCUUUGACUAUUUGACUAUUUUUCUUGCUAUUUAAUUGCCUACUCUAUGAUACUGACAAAAAAUUCUCGGUACUUCUAAUAAUUUUUUGUCCCUGCUCUUUUCUUCCUUGUACUCCUGUAGAUGUUAAAACUCUAUUUUGAAGCUAGAGUUUUGAAAUUAGCAUGCUUAAGUUGCCAAUAAUUUUUAAAUAAUGACAAUGCUAAAUAUGAGCAAAUUUAAUCUACUGAAAAACUGAGCAUUUUCUUGUGAAAAUAAAGUUGGGAAAUGAUUAUUAUUCUAAGUUCUAAGUCAUUAGAUUCUCUACCUAGACACUUUGUCCUUACCCGAGCAUUCAAAUGCAAGGUUAAUAUUUUUGUCCUUACCUGAGUGUUAAAAUGCAAGGUUAAUAUUUAGAAUGCAACCUUAUUUAUUCUUUUUAUAAAUUUUUAAAAUUAUUUAUACUUUAAGGGAAAAUAAAUACCAAAAUUGAUAUUUUUUGUCUAAUGAGAGUAUAAACAUAAUGAGAAGGGGUUUAAAUGCUAGGUUAAUUAUUUACAAAGCAUAUAUAAGUGCAUCGCCUUUAUUUAAUUUUAUAAACACUCUCCUUAUUCCUUGGAUUAGUGACAGGAAGAGAUAUGAAAAAUUGAUAAUUUUUUCAUAAUACAUAGAGAUUGGAUAAGAGAUGAUUUAAUUGAUGGCACAAAAAUAAAAACAAAUAUGCCAGUUAUGAGCCUUAUGUGUUUAGAAAGUAAUUUCUUACGUUUUUAUUUGUCUAGGACUUAUUGGAAAAAAUAUGUUAAAACUUAUAUUUUUACAGUGUGGGAAAAAAUAUUAAGAUGUAUAAAUCAUAUCUCUAAUUGAUAUUUAAAAAGGAAUAUGAAAAAAUGAUUUUUUGCAAUAAGACUACAUGUGUGUGCUAGGGAAGAUGUAUUAUUACAGUUUAUACUCUGCUUUGGAUUUUUUUCAUUUAUUUAUCUGUUUUUAUCGCCUAUUAGAUGUAAGUUUCAAUUUUGGUUAUCAUGAAGUGUUUAUCCUCUUAGUUGUGUCUUGGAAAGUUUAGUUUUCUGACAUGUUUUCUUGAACCUUUUAUAUUGAAAAUUUAUAAAUCCUCACUAGAUGUUGGACUCAUUUUUGUGUAUUUCAUGAGGAUGUCCCUUUUGUGUUUUUUUUUAUCUCAAUGGGCAUUGGCUGUGAUCAAUUAACCACUUGUUCUUUUGUGCACCUUAAUGGAUCUCAAUAUGUGAUCUUUUGUAAUUGCAGCCUAUGAUUGCACUUUAUAUUAAGUAUUUAGCAAGUCAUCUCUUGUCUCUGUAAGACUAACUUGCACUUGAAGAUGUUAAGCUAUUUGUCAAACUACUUGCCAAUCUUUUGUCAUCUUCUCUUCUCUUUUGCAAUGCUAAUGAUUUUUUUGUUUUGUUUAGUCUCAUAUUGUUAGCUGCAUACUUGAUUGGUAAUUUAUAAUUUUAAGAAUGCUAUUUCGCAAACAUUACUGUUAAUCUUAUUUUAUAUGACAAUAGAUUAUAGGGGGCCUAGGCUGUGCUUAGCACAGCCGAUAACCUCCUAGUAUAUAUAUAUAAACCUAAGCCUUCUUCUCCCACAUUGAUCCACGUGGCUGCUCUUGGGGAGGGAGUGUACUGUAGCAGCUACCUUUUGCCAAUAAUGCCCUCCAAAUUUGAGUUUCUGCACUGAAAAAUUGACUACUAUUAAGGGGCUUGUACGUCUUUUAUCAUUUAAUGACAAUUUUGCCCUACCAGAUAUACCAUCUUCUCAAAACAGUAGGUAACUGUUCAGGGUUAUUUCUGGAAUAUUGGGUCAAAUAAUCCUCCUUUCCUUUUCAUUGUUCCUGUAUGUUGGACUACUCCUCUUCGGUGGAAAAAGAGAAGCAGAGAAGCAAGGAAGUAGCUGAACAGCUUUUAGAAACAGUGGCCAAGAAAUGGGUUGUCCGCCUGCUAUGUGUAGUUCCAAGCCAAACAAAGACAAGUAUGAAUUCAACUCUUCCACCACUUGGUCAACAGUUUCUCCUUUCUCUAUCUUUCUCGUUAUUUUGUUUCUACUUCGUUUUGCUUUCUGCUUUCUAGACAAUGAAAACUGGGACUUGAAUGCAGUGAGUGAUGCAUAAUCUCUUCUAUGAAUACUAUUACACCAAAUUGAAGAUUACAGAAUCUGUGGUAGUUUCUCUAAAUCCAAGUAUCUAUAAAGCUGGAACAUUAAAAAAACAUGAGGUUUCCUUGAUCAAAUAUGUUUGCUCAGUAACUUUGAACCAUACAUCCUGAUAUUUGCACUAAAAAAUGCACAAACCUAAUGAGGUCAGAUUGUCUGGUAAGAACUGAUAUAGCCCUUGCGGGACAAAAUAAAAAAGCAUCUUAAAGUCGUUGAAACGAAUUGAUCUGGUUAUAGUAAGCAAUAAUUGAACGAUAAAAAAAUCUCUUAAGGAAGUAUUCCACAUCAAAACAUUUCAAUGAGUUGAUGAAUCCCAAAAAUUGCGAAUCUUCACUUAAUAAGUUACUUUCAUUUUUCUUAAUCUUCUAGACGUAACAGAGAAAAAAAAAAUUUUUGACGACAAAAAUGUCAUCUCUCAUGCCACAAAGCCCACAUGCAUGUACAACAGUUCAGGGAAAUCCACGUAUCUGUAUCAUUGAUGGAGAAGAAGCCGGCAUUGCUGCAUAUGUUAGCAGAAAAUCCCAUGUUAUUGACCGGUCAUGUAGUGGAAGAACAGAUGGUUGAUGUGGGAAGGGUGAUGCUUCAAGGAACCAUUUGAUUUUUUGUGCAAUGGAAAAGUUAUGUAGGCAGCUAGGAAUCUAGGAUAUGCAGACAAACAUAUUUUGGAUGGACUGUGAAGGUUUGGGUUCAGUUAUGUCAUCUCUAACGCCAUCUCUAUGGUCAUAUCUAACAGGUAUAGACCACAUAUUGAGUUUUUGGGUGCAAAUUUUCGUACAUGACAGGCUUCAAAAUCUAGCAUGCAAAAGAAAGGCAGCAAUGGUGUCACGAUCUCAUCUGUUGUUUAGUUUCUUUUCAUCCUUAUCUAAUCAAGCAUAAUGCGGGAGUUGUAUCGACAGGGUACCAAUCUAGGUGUGCUUAUCAUGAACUGAUUGACUAAGUUCUUCAGUGCAUCGAUUGAUUUCUUU
rnacentral:lncRNA from 1 species